AGGUGAGCUGUAGUAGUAUGGAGGAGGAGGAGAUUUUACUGGUGGGGGUGGAGAGUGGUAGUAGUAGGGAGGUGGAGGAGAAGGUGAUGGUGGAGGAGGUGACUUAUAGUAGUAGGGUGGAGGUGGUGACGGGGAUGGUGGAGGAGGAGACUUGUAGUAGUAGGGUGGUGGAGGAGAUGGCGAUGGUGGUGGUUGUGACUUGUAGUAGUAUGGUGGAGGGGGAGAAGGCGAUGGAGGAGGAGGAGACUUAUAGUAGUAUGGUGGAGGGGGAGACGGCGAUGGUGGGGGUGGAGACUUGUAGUAGUAUGGAGGUGGAGGAGAUGGCAAUGGCGGCGGUGGAGACUUGUAGUAGUAUGGUGGAGGGGGAGAAGGCGAUGGUGGGGGUGGAGACUUGUAGUAGUAUGGUGGAGGGGGAGAAGGCGAUGGUGGUGGAGGAGACUUAUAGUAGUAAGGAGGAGGGGGUGAGGGUGAUGGUGGUGGUGGGGACUUGUAGUAGUAAGGUGGGGGUGGUGAUGGGG
rnacentral:lncRNA from 1 species